AAGAGGCAAACAUUUCGAGUAGCUUUUUUGGUCUCUAUUCAUUGCAAGUUAUUCUUACAUUUUACUUAGGAACUACAGUUUUAAUUAAGUCUGUCAUGAUCAUUAUGAAACUUUUAAACAUUUGGUUUUGAGAAGACUUGAAACUCUAGAGACUUCAGAGAGAAACAAAGACUGCGAAGUAUAUUAAAAAAAAUAAUUACUGUGAGUGUAAAAUUAUGAUUAAAAAGCUUUAUAUGAACUAGGAGACGCAUUGUUACAUUUUCCAGUGUAUUGUGUGAAUAUCUUUAGAUUUUAUUUCUUCUGAAUGCCAAACACCACCUUUCUUUUACUCUUCUGCCAUCUUGUGGUAAUAAGUAUAACAUAUGCAGUUCUUGUGGGAUCAGUGGAGCCAUCAUGCUUCAGCUUCUGUAUGCAACUAUUUAUUACUCAGUCUAAAGCAUAUCUUUAAUGUGAAGCUUUAUACUUCAUGCUAUGAUAUCUGGAUAAUACAUUUUGAAUGCAAACCUUGUCUACAACAUACUAUUUUGUAACAAGCUGAUGUUCGUAAAUUUGUUAAAUUGUUCAUGAAUAUCCAGAGGUAAAGACAAAACUAAUGAGGCUUAUAUAACAUGAUUAGCAGCUGUAUCUAUUGUCCAACCACAAGAGGGCACACUAGUCUGUAAUAAGUAUUUUUGUGUACGGUGUUUUAAUAAAUCAUAUAGCAUCAGUGUUAACAUGGUGGUUAACAUGGACUGGUAACUAUACCAUCUGGAUUCAAAAGGCAUGCAAUUUCAGACCCAUAGUUGGAGCUCUAAAGCAGUGCUGAUAUUGACUGUGGUUUGGGUGAGUCCACGUAUCUGUCCUCAAAGAUGAUUGGCAGGCUGUUCCAGUCUCCGUCGAUGUCCAGGCAUUCCACAGGAAGUGGAGGCAUUCGGAGCAGGAAUUUGAUUAGUCAAGUGUUUCACAAACCUGCAGUUCAAUGGUGAGCUGGUUUAAUGUUUCUUCAAGCGGGAGGUCCUCUGGAAACGAGAACAUAAGGAAAGAGUUCGAGUCACAAACAAAAAAUAUCAUGAAGAAAGAAAACCUAAUGGGUUCUGAAGGACAAUGAGGUUGAGGGAUCUCCUUCAUUAGCGCCGUGUAAUAGGAGCGCAGAGCUCUGUGAGCCGCCAGCAACAGUUUACAGAUGCGCCGGUGCCACGUGUAACCUCUCUGCAGACAGUUCUCCGACGGCACGUAAAAACUGCC